UCGGGAAUUUUGUGCAAUGGGCGAAAGCCUGACACAGCAACGCCGCGUGAAGGAUGAAGUCCCUCGGGAUGUAAACUUCGUAAGAAUAGGAAGAAUAAAUGACGGUACUAUUUGUAAGGUCCGGCUAACUACGUGCCAGCAGCCGCGGUAAUACGUAGGGACCAAGCGUUGUUCGGAUUUACUGGGCGUAAAGGGUGCGUAGGCGGCAUAUCAAGUCACUUGUGAAAUCUCCGGGCUUAACUCGGAACUGCCAAGUGAUACUGAUGUGCUAGAGUGCAGAAAGGGCAACUGGAAUUCUUGGUGUAGCGGUGAAAUGCGUAGAUAUCAAGAGGAACACCUGAGGCGAAGGCGAGUUGCUAGGCUGACACUGACGCUGAGGUACGAAAGCUAGGGGAGCGAACGGGAUUAGAUACCCUGGUAGUCCCUGAGCGGGCUGGCAAGG
rnacentral:rRNA from 1 species